GAUGAUGUUAUAAGAAGCUUUCCAAGCUCCACUCCUGGGGAUGGAAGGAUGAAGAAGAAGGUCCUACUGUAGCCCUGCCACUAGCUAUCAAGUCCAUGUACUGCCUUUGAGAUGUCUCAGCUGACACCCUAGCAGCUUCCAACUGCUGCAAAGCUACAAUAUUUUGUUGCACCAAGGCAACAUUCUGCUAUUUCAUAAAAGAAAAC
rnacentral:lncRNA from 1 species